CUGAAACCUCUGAGACAAUUGGUAUGCUUGCAAAUAUUGCAAAGGAAGAAAAGGAAGACAGAAUAGUGAGUUGCCAGAAGGAAGGACCAGGAAGAAGAACAGCUUUCAGUUUAUGAAUGUUUGUGUUAGAAUGACAAAGUACAUAUAUCCAAGGGAGGCCAGGCAAGCAUUGCAACCAAAGCUAUCUGCAACUAGCAGUGGGUUCAGAGAAAAAGAACAAAACUGUGCAUUAGUGACUACUACAAAGAAAACAGGAGAGGACAUGUCAUGGAGGACAUCUGCUCAAACAAGAAGAGCAGACAUUCUUCUGGGAAUAUUUGAGGCAAUGUUAAAUCUGAAUUGAGACAACCUAGGCAAAGCUGUCUGCUGGCAGGAGGGAACGCUGCAGUUUCUAGAAGCGAGGACAGAAUCUGACCUACAGAUAUAAGGAGAUGACUGGAAAACAAAAACAGCUUGGAAGCCUUAUAUUCACAGAUGCUUUUAUUCUUGGUAUGCCAUUCAAUUAAACAUUCUCUGAGAAUGUA